rnacentral:tRNA from 1 species
AAGCCGUUAGUUCAGGCGUAGAGCACCUGGCUUUUAAUCCGGGUAUCGGGUUUCGAAUAUCCCACAGCUCAUCA